rnacentral:pre_miRNA from 1 species
UCACACAACUCAACAUAGCCAGUGUGGACUAUCUCGUGAUCAGGAAUCAUCACGAGAUAGUCCACACUGGCUAUGUUGAGUUGUGU